GGGACACGUGGUAUCCUGUCUGAAUAUGGGGGGACCAUCCUCCAAGGCUAAAUACUCCUGACUGACCGAUAGUGAACCAGUACCGUGAGGGAAAGGCGAAAAGAACCCCGGCGAGGGGAGUGAAAAAGAACCUGAAACCGUGUACGUACAAGCAGUGGGAGCACGCUUAGGCGUGUGACUGCGUACCUUUUGUAUAAUGGGUCAGCGACUUAUAUUCUGUAGCAAGGUUAACCGAAUAGGGGAGCCGAAGGGAAACCGAGUCUUAACUGGGCGUUAAGUUGCAGGGUAUAGACCCGAAACCCGGUGAUCUAGCCAUGGGCAGGUUGAAGGUUGGGUAACACUAACUGGAGGACCGAACCGACUAAUGUUGAAAAAUUAGCGGAUGACUUGUGGCUGGGGGUGAAAGGCCAAUCAAACCGGGAGAUAGCUGGUUCUCCCCGAAAGCUAUUUAGGUAGCGCCUCGUGAAUUCAUCUCCGGGGGUAGAGCACUGUUUCGGCAAGGGGGUCAUCCCGACUUACCAACCCGAUGCAAACUGCGAAUACCGGAGAAUGUUAUCACGGGAGACACACGGCGGGUGCUAACGUCCGUCGUGAAGAGGGAAACAACCCAGACCGCCAGCUAAGGUCCCAAAGUCAUGGUUAAGUGGGAAACGAUGUGGGAAGGCCCAGACAGCCAGGAUGUUGGCUUAGAAGCAGCCAUCAUUUAAAGAAAGCGUAAUAGCUCACUGGUCGAGUCGGCCUGCGCGGAAGAUGUAACGGGGCUAAACCAUGCACCGAAGCUGCGGCAGCGACGCUUAUGCGUUGUUGGGUAGGGGAGCGUUCUGUAAGCCUGUGAAGGUGUGCUGUGAGGCAUGCUGGAGGUAUCAGAAGUGCGAAUGCUGACAUAAGUAACGAUAAAGCGGGUGAAAAGCCCGCUCGCCGGAAGACCAAGGGUUCCUGUCCAACGUUAAUCGGGGCAGGGUGAGUCGACCCCUAAGGCGAGGCCGAAAGGCGUAGUCGAUGGGAAACAGGUUAAUAUUCCUGUACUUGAUGUUACUGCGAAGGGGGGACGGAGAAGGCUAUGUUGGCCGGGCGACGGUUGUCCCGGUUUAAGCGUGUAGGCUGGUUUUCCAGGCAAAUCCGGAAAAUCAAGGCUGAGGCGUGAUGACGAGGCACUACGGUGCUGAAGCAACAAAUGCCCUGCUUCCAGGAAAAGCCUCUAAGCAUCAGGUAACAUCAAAUCGUACCCCAAACCGACACAGGUGGUCAGGUAGAGAAUACCAAGGCGCUUGAGAGAACUCGGGUGAAGGAACUAGGCAAAAUGGUGCCGUAACUUCGGGAGAAGGCACGCUGAUAUGUAGGUGAAGUCCCUCGCGGAUGGAGCUGAAAUCAGUCGAAGAUACCAGCUGGCUGCAACUGUUUAUUAAAAACACAGCACUGUGCAAACACGAAAGUGGACGUAUACGGUGUGACGCCUGCCCGGUGCCGGAAGGUUAAUUGAUGGGGUCAGCGCAAGCGAAGCUCUUGAUCGAAGCCCCGGUAAACGGCGGCCGUAACUAUAACGGUCCUAAGGUAGCGAAAUUCCUUGUCGGGUAAGUUCCGACCUGCACGAAUGGCGUAAUGAUGGCCAGGCUGUCUCCACCCGAGACUCAGUGAAAUUGAACUCGCUGUGAAGAUGCAGUGUACCCGCGGCAAGACGGAAAGACCCCGUGAACCUUUACUAUAGCUUGACACUGAACAUUGAGCCUUGAUG
rnacentral:rRNA from 1 species